CCUACGGGGGGCUGCAGUGGGGAAUAUUGGACAAUGGGCGAAAGCCUGAUCCAGCCAUGCCGCGUGUGUGAAGAAGGCCUUCGGGUUGUAAAGCACUUUCAGUGGGGAAGAAAGCCUUGGGGCUAAUACCCUCGAGGAAGGACAUCACCCACAGAAGAAGCACCGGCUAACUCCGUGCCAGCAGCCGCGGUAAUACAGGAGGGUGCGAGCGUUAAUCGGAAUUACUGGGCGUAAAGCGCGCGUAGGCGGUCUGAUAAGCCGGUUGUGAAAGCCCCGGGCUCAACCUGGGAACGGCAUCCGGAACUGUCAGGCUAGAGUGCAGGAGAGGAAGGUAGAAUUCCCGGUGUAGCGGUGAAAUGCGUAGAGAUCGGGAGGAAUACCAGUGGCGAAGGCGGCCUUCUGGACUGACACUGACGCUGAGGUGCGAAAGCGUGGGUAGCAAACAGGAUUAGAUACCCUAGUAGUC
rnacentral:rRNA from 1 species